GCCAGAUCACACACACAGGGUUGCUAUUCAGAGCACAGACUCAGAGCCAGGCUGCCUGGCUUCAAAUCCCAGCUCUGUCAUUCAUUAGCUGUGUGAUCUUGGGCAGGACGUUUAACCUCCCUGUGAUGUGAGCACAAUAGUAGCCCCUCCCUCAUAGGGCAGCUGUGAGGAUGCAGUGAGCUAAUACAUAUGCCCAGCAGAGGGCAAGAGUGAAGGGUGUCAGCUCCCCCACCACAAUGACCCGCCUGGCACUCUACCCCUGGUGCCAGCAGUGUCUCUUCUCUCUCCUCCAGGUCACGGAGUGUAGGGAAAGGACAAGCGCCCAAGCUCUCUGGCUCCUUUCGAAGACUCUCCAGGUGGAGCGAGAGUCUGACCCAGCCCUGCUCUAUGAUGCCCUGGGGUCCCCCCAGCUGCCCACCCUGCUGGCAGGUAAGGGAAAGACUUUAGAUUUUUCUCAGAAAUUGUACUUUUCUCAAAUGUAUUUAAAAUGAGGCCAUUGGGAGAUUGUUAUGCCUGAUCAUUAUAUGAAGAAAUUUUAUUUCUCUCCCACAUCUUUCUCUUUAGAGCCGCAGUCACUGGAGAAAGCAGCUGUCAUCAUCUCAGAAUUUCUGACAGCAGAUAAAGCGUGGCCAAUGCUGUGUAUCAGAAAAUAGUGAUUCAUUUUCGCAACUAUAUUUGAUCCCUUAAACAGCCUCCUGAGAGGCUAUUUUGCUUAGAAAAUUCUGAAGACAGCUGAAGAGAGAACAGGAAGUACAGAAAAAGGGGAAUGCCCUGCUGGAUAUUUCAGAAUGUUGACUCCGCUCCAGUGAAUCUGAUUCUGGCUGCAGCUUUUAUUAGUAAGAGAGUCAUUUCUUCCCACCCCACUCCCAUGAAAUGAAUGUCAAACAUUUAAAGAAUCUCAAGUUAAAAGGAUACAAAUUAUUAGCCUCCCUCCCCUUGGACCCACACACAUCUCAUCCUUCCAUCAGAACAACAGGUUUUAUGUCAAAAACCAUGGUAUGGUUUUAAGAGGUGUGUGGCUUACGUCAGUUCCCCAGAAGAUGCCCCUGAGACGAAGAUCAGUGGGCAAUGAUUAUUAAAGGAAGGGCUCCCAGGGGGAACAAGCAAAGGAGAGGAGAAAUGGGACAAGGAAGGAGGAGGAGUCAAACACUGGAGAGACUCAGGGGAAGUCACCCAGACCCCACCAUAGGCCACUCCCGAAGGCGCCCUAGGGUGUGAGUCCAGCUCAGAGUCAGGACUCCAGGCACAGGUGGCCUGUCCUAUUCCCACAGUCAGGCUUUUCCUGGGGGCUAUAGGUGGCCUGGAAGCAAGGGAAGUGCUCAGCCUCCAGCUCUGUGCUGGCAGGCAGAGCAGCGCCAGGACCCUGGAAGCAGCCCUCUGAAGAGGAGCUGUGCCCUGUAGGCGCUGCUUCUAGAGCGACUGAAGACAGGGAGUCCAGGAUGGGUGGAGGCACCAGAGGGUGUCUGGUGAGCCCAGCACUGCUCACAACUGGAACUCAUCAAUGUAGUUUACACCCUUGCUGCAAAGGAGAAGUUUCACUGAGAUCAGAAGACAAGUGAACUGGGCCUGCUCCCCAUUGCUGCACUGAAGCCACUGGUCAGUAGGAGACUGAUAAAGAAGAAGGCAGCCCCAGUAUCAGACCCAUCCCCAAAGUCCCCGGCCAGACAAUCCCAGGAGGGAAAAGUCUUCUGGUCUAGUGCGCCAGAGUUUAAGACCCCUGGGCAGGACACCGCGCUGAUGCUCCCUCAAAUCCACCUUGUUGACAGCAUAGCUCCACCUCCAGCCUUGUUCAGGAGUCUCUCCUUGGCCAAGCAGCUUGGUGUGGAGGAAAGGGUAGAGGUCUUGGCAUCACACUUGCAUUAAACAUUUAAUCUCUCGAAGCUGCAUUUCUCUAGUGAGCGAAAUAGAGAUCAUCUCCCUGCUUGGCAGGGAGGUGGUAACAAGUGGAGAGAACACACGUAAAGCAUCUAGCCCAGUGGAAACACCGCGAUGCCUUUUAGUCUUUACCCUCAUUCUCUUGUCCUGAGAGAGAAGCAGCAGCCAGGCCUGGAACACUGGAUCUCUGAUGUAUAGAACACACCUGCCCCUCCAGGAGACGUUCUUCUGGAUCCUAGCACAGAGCUGCUGCGUACUGGUCUUCAUGCUCGGACCCCUGCCACCUGCCUCCAGGCUUCCCUGUAAGGCCCAGACCUCCGCGGGCUCCUCCCUCAAAGACCCUCUAGCCACCCUCACACUCGGUUGCCUUCAGCUAGCACUGACCCACCAGGCCUUGCAAGUCCCUCCAGUUCCUUGGUUCUGCUCCCUCUCAUCAGUACCAUUCUGUUGCUUGCGCAGCAUGGAGAUGCCUCUCAAUUUGUAGCCAAAGAAUAAUAAAAACUCUCUACGUGGAAAAGAAAUUUAGAAUGCCCCGGGCUCACGGAGCUGGAAAGGACUUUGGCCAGGCAAAGCCAUUUUUAACAGAGUUAAUGGCAGGACUAGGGGAAGCCAGGCUGCAGAAACGAAGAAGCCCAAGAUACCAGGAACUUAACACAGAGAACAUUGAUCUCCUGCUCCCUCAGAGGCCGCCGCUCAUCCGGAUGGUUCUGCCAGGCGCUGUCCUUCAUGCAGUGACCCAACCAUUCAGGGGAGCAUUUCAGAGGCUCUGCCAUCUCCACCUGUGGCCUCCCCUGCAGGUGACGUGGCUGGUGAAACAGAGAGUCAAGCAGGGCUCAACCACCUGGGAUAAUGUCCACCCACAUCACGAUGCUCACAGCUGGCAGAAGGCUGGAUUUCUCCUGACCGGGAGCCAGCUGCCCCAUCUGGAGUGCCUUG
rnacentral:lncRNA from 1 species